GGAAGAGGGAGGCCAGGGCAACAGUGGAUGGGGUGAGAAGAUGGCAAAAGCACAGAGCUCAGUGGCAGGACGGGGUGGACAGGGGACAGUGGGCUGGGAGUGAGAGAGACCCUUUAGGACCCUCUGGGUGUGUGAGCCCGCCCUCCUGGGUUCCCCAUCUCUGUGAGUAAACGGCUUUGUUUCAGGCCUCCCCUCAGUCUCAAAAGUCUGGCUCAAGAGUUAAAGACUGGGAAACGUGAACACAUAGAAACAAAGAAUAGCUGUUGGGCUGGGAAACUCAUAAAAAUUUAGGCCAUAAAUCAGCUACAUAGCAGUCACUGAACUCCCAGUUCCCUGAAAGAUACAGAUAACGAUGUCUGACACACAUUCCUAAGCUGUUUUUAUAGAAACCAGACACUCCUCCCACCUACCCCACCCUCUACCACUGAUGAAAACUGCUGACGGUAAGCACACACUGAAUCUCAGGCUGGUUGGGACCAGAAGGUUUAUGAUGUUGACUCCUGAAACAUCACCCCAUGACCUCACCACUCACCAACAGACAAAAGAGCUGAUCAAGCACCUUGCCACCCAUACCCCUAAUAUUGCCUUUAAAAACCCCUCCCUGAAGGCCCCUGGGGAGUUUGGGUCUUUUGAGUAUGAGCUGCCCAUUCUCCUUGGUCAGUGACAGCAAUCAACACUGGACAUUCUUUGACCACAGCCUGGUGUCAGUAGCUGGUUUCACUGUGCGAGUGGACCUGAAACAGGAGGGGAGGGGGCAGGACACAGCCUUUAAAAGAAUGACAUAGCCUGAGGACACAACAUAAACUGAAUAGAUCCAAGUCAACUUCCACUAGACUUUGGUCCUUGGUAUAAGCUGAUCGUAACACCUCAGCAAGCUACAUGACACACCCACAGGGGCCAAGACCAAAACUGGGCCCAAUUCCUGGAGAUCUCCACCUCUUUCCCAAGGUGGUUGGAAUAAUCCUCCCACUCAUUAGCCUAUGAAAUUACCCAGCCCAUAAAAGCUAACCACAGCACGUUUUGAGGUGGCCCUUUCCUUCUGAGGUGGCCCACACUGUGUCUGUGGGGUAUGUCUCUCUCUUAAUAGAUCCACUUCUUACCUAUCACUUUGUCUCUCAAUGAAUUCUUCCUGCAAUGAGACAAGAACCUGAGCUUCAUUAGGUCCCGAAACCAGGCUCUCAGACCCUCAACUUGCAUCUACCACAGUCAUGAUCAGGGCUUCCCUGAAUGAGCUUCCCUAGGUAACAAAGAAAGCUAUGACCUGCAGAGUUCUGUUUCCAAACAAGACUCCCUCCCCGAGUCUCUUCCCCUGACCCUGAGGUCUUAUCUCAGAACUUUGGUAACGUGUGAUCUGAGCAAUUCCUCUGAAG
ensembl:lncRNA